CCUACGGGAGGCAGCAGUGGGGAAUAUUGGGCAAUGGGCGCAAGCCUGACCCAGCAACGCCGCGUGAAGGAAGAAGGCUUUCGGGUUGUAAACUGCUUUUAAGAGGGAAGAGCAGAAGACGGUACCUCUUGAAUAAGCCACGGCUAACUACGUGCCAGCAGCCGCGGUAAUACGGAGGUGGCAAGCGUUGUCCGGAUUUACUGGGUGUAAAGGGCGUGCAGCCGGGAAGACAGGUCAGAUGUGAAAUCCCGGGGCUAAACCGCGGAACUGCAUUUGAAACUGUUUUUCUUGAGUACCGGAGAGGUCAUCGGAAUUCCUUGUGUAGCGGUGAAAUGCGUAGAUAUAAGGAAGAACACCAGUGGCGAAGGCGGAUGACUGGACGGCAACUGACGGUGAGGCGCGAAAGCGUAGGGAGCAAACAGGAUUAGAUACCCGGGUAGUC
rnacentral:rRNA from 1 species